rnacentral:rRNA from 1 species
CCCUUAGAUGUUCUGGGCCGCACGCGCGCUACACUGACGAAUGCAACGAGCUUAUAACCUUGGCCGAAAGGUCUGGGUAAUCUCCAAAUUUCGUCGUGAUGGGGAUAGAUUAUUGCAAUUAUUAAUCUUCAACGAGGAAUGCCUAGUAAGCGCAAGUCAUCAGCUUGCGUUGAUUACGUCCCUGCCCUUUGUACACACCGCCCGUCGCUCCUACCGAUUGAAUGGUCCGGUGAAGCGCUCGGACCGCGGCCUCUUGACGGUUUUCCGUCGAUUGGCUGGGGGAAGUUCGUUAAACCUUAUCAUUUAGAGGAAGGAGAAGUCGUAACA